GAUGAACGCUGGCGGCGUGCCUAAUACAUGCACGUCGAGCGAAGCGGGGAAGGGAGAGUAACACGUGGAUAACCCCCUAUAUGACCGGGAUAACUUCGGGAAACCGGAGCUAAACCGGAUACUUAUAGAUGGAUCCGCGCAGCAUUAGCUAGUUGGUAAGUGAACGGCUAACCAAGGAAACGAUGCAUAGCCGACCUGAGAGGGUGAACGGCCACACGGGUACUGAGACACGGUCCAGAGUCCGACGGUAGGCACCAGUAGGGAAUCUUCCGCAAUUGGCGAAAGCCUGAUGGAGCCACGCCGCGUGAGUGAUGAAGGUCUUCGGAUCGUAAAACUCUGUUAUUAGGGGAGAGGUACCUAAUCAGAAAGCCACGGCUAACGUCGCACCAGCAGCCGCGGUAAUUC
rnacentral:rRNA from 1 species